rnacentral:snoRNA from 1 species
GUUGCUGUUGCUGCUGCUGCUGCUGUUGCUGCUGUGUGGCAGCAGCAGCAGCAGCAGCAGCAGCAGGACGAGGUUUAUUUUGGUGUUCUCUUCCUACAGC